GCCCGCCUAGCUCAAUCGGAUAGAGCGUCAGACUCUUACUAGGCGAAUCGGCUUACAAGGCAUCUGAAGGCUGCGAGUUCGACCCUCGCGGUGGGCU
rfam:Botryobasidium botryosum FD-172 SS1 unplaced genomic scaffold BOTBOscaffold_58, whole genome shotgun sequence.